AUUGAACGCUGGCGGCAGGCCUAACACAUGCAAGUCGAACGAGUGGCGGACGGGUGAGUAAUGUCUGGGACACUGCCCGAUGGAGGGGGAUAACUACUGGAAACGGUAGCUAAUACCGCAUACCAUCGGAUGUGCCCAGAUGGGAUUAGCUUGUAGGUGAGGUAACGGCUCACCUAGGCGACGAUCCCUAGCUGGGCUGAGAGGAUGACCAGCGAGACUGGAAAUGAGACACGGGCCACACGCCUACGGGAGGCAGAAGUGGGGAAUAUGGCAAAAUGGGAGAAAGCCUGAUGUAGCCAUGCGGGGUGUAUGAAGAGGGCCUUCGGGUUGUAAAGUACUUUCAGCGGGGAGGCGUUACCCGCAGAAGAAGCACCGGCUAACUCCGUGCCAGCAGCCGCGGUAAUGC
rnacentral:rRNA from 1 species